rnacentral:lncRNA from 1 species
ACAGAAGUGCGCACUGGUCCACGGUGACCCCAAGGAGGACAUGAUCCCCCUUGUCUGGGAGAUGCAGUCUGACCUGAGCCAUGAAGAAGUGCAGAGUCCCCAAGAGGCCAGAGAGCUCACGUCUGGUUAGAGUCGGGGUGUUUGAUGGGAAGAUGAAAGGAGGAGCUGGCAUCUGAGGCCUCUCCUUGGUGUCUGCUGUCCACGAGCACAGCCCUGUCUUCAGAGCCAGGGGAUCAGGAAACAGCAUGGGUCAUGUUGAGAGACACAAGCUCACCUCUGCCCACAGGACGAAACAGCCUGGCGGGCACAGGCCUCACAUCCAACUCCUGGGGGUCCCUAGCCUGCCCUCCCUGACCCUCCAUCCUCACCCAGAUCCUCCGCUGCUCCCCGGGAGCCCUCGGCUUGCACAGCUUUCACCUGGGCUGGGAAAGUCUCUCUUCUGCACACUCGCUGCCAUGUUUGCCAAGCACCAGACCUUUAAGUACCAUGUACCAUUUUUUUUUCAUAUCUGCAUACCACAUGUACUGUUAUUUGCUUGUUAGUUUUCUUUAGAGUGACUCUCUUUAUAUUAAUUGAUUUUACAAGUGAAACGAAAUGAUGAAAACCAGAAUCACUUGCUAUAAAUAGACGAUGCCUGAGUAACGGAAUACAAUAAAAACAAAAUACUAUCAUUUUAGCUC